rnacentral:rRNA from 1 species
CCUACGGGUGGCAGCAGUGGGGAAUAUUGCGCAAUGGGCGAAAGCCUGACGCAGCGACGCCGCGUGAGGGAUGAAGGUCUUCGGAUCGUAAACCUCUGUCAGCAGGGAAGAACGGUCACUGUGCUAAUCAGCAGUGAAUUGACGGUACCUGCAAAGGAAGCACCGGCUAACUCCGUGCCAGCAGCCGCGGUAAUACGGAGGGUGCGAGCGGUAAUCGGAAUUACUGGGCGUAAAGCGCUCGUAGGCGGUAUGUCAAGUCAAGGGUGAAAUCCCCGCGCUCAACGUGGGAACUGCCUUUGAAACUGGCAAACUGGAGUGUGUGAGAGGAUAGUGGAAUUCCAGGUGUAGGAGUGAAAUGCGUAGAUAUCUGGAGGAACAUCAGUGGCGAAGGCGACUAUCUGGCACAUAACUGACGCUGAGGAGCGAAAGCGUGGGUAGCAAACAGGAUUAGAUACCCUGGUAGUC